rnacentral:rRNA from 1 species
UGAGUACGAGAUGCUACGGCAUCGAAGCAGUCUAUGUCAUACUUCCAAGAAAAGCUUGCACUGUCAUAAACAAAGAAUGCCUGUACCAUAACCGACACAGGUGGGUAGGUAGAGUAUACUAAGGGGCGCGAGAUAACUCUCUCUAAGGAACUCGGCAAAAUGACUCCGUAACUUCGGGAGAAGGAGUGCCUUAUUUCUAAGGUUGCAAUAACAAGAUCCAAGCAACUGUUUACCAAAAACACAGGUCUCCGCUAAGUCGUAAGGCGAUGUAUGGGGGCUGACGCCUGCCCAGUGCCAGAAGGUUAAAGAAGUUGGUUAGCAUUAGCGAAGCUGAUAACUGAAGCCCUGGUGAACGGCGGCCGUAACAAUAACGGUCCUAAGGUAGCGAAAUUCCUUGUCGGGUAAGUUCCGACCCGCACGAAAGGCGUAAUGAUUUGGAUACUGUCUCGGAGAGGGGCUCGGUGAAAUAGACUUGUCUGUGAAGAUGCGGACUACCUGCACCUGGACAGAAAGACCCUAUGAAGCUUUACUGUAACUUGAGAUUGAAAUUGGACUUUAUUUGCGCAGUAUAGGUGGGAGGCGUUGAGAAUAAUCUUGCGGGAUUGUUGGAGCCGUCAGUGAGAUACCACUCUUGUAAUGUUAGAUUUCUAACUUUGUAUCAUUAUCUGGUCAAAGAACAGUUUCAGGCGGGCAGUUUGACUGGGGCGGUCGCCUCCCAAAGGGUAACGGAGGCGCACAAAGGUUUCCUCUGAACGGGUAGAAAUCGUAUCUAGAGUGUAAAGGCAUAAGGAAGCUUGACUGUGAGACCUACAAGUCGAGCAGGGACGAAAGUCGGUCUUAGUGAUCUGACGGUGCUGAGUGGAAAGGCCGUCACUCAACGGAUAAAAGUUACUCUAGGAUAACAGGCUGAUCUCCCCCAAGAGUUCACAUCGACGGGGAGGUUUGGCACCUCGAUGUCGGCUCAUCGCAUCCUGGGGCGGUAGUCCGUCCCAAGGGUUGGGCUGUUCGCCCAUGAAAGCGGUACGCGAGCUGGGUUCAGAACGUCGUGAGACAGUUCGGUCCAUAUCCGGUGUAGGCGUUAGAAUAUUGAGAGGAGCCUUCUCUAGUACGAGAGGACCGAGAAGGACAUACCUCUGGUGUACCAGUUAUCGUGCCAACGGUAAACGCUGGGUAGCUAUGUAUGGAGUGGAUAACCGCUGAAAGCAUCUAAGUGGGAAGCCCACCUCAAGAUAAG